UAUUAGAGUCACGGAGAGAACUCUCUCUCGAGAACAAACCCUAAUACCGUCACCGUUACCCUAUCUCCCACUGACGAAACUCUCUGUCGACACCUUGUAGCCCGAUUUCGUGCUCUGUAACUCAAACUCAGUUGAAAAGAGGAGGAUGACCUGAAGUUGUGAACAGAUCCAAGCUCAGUUGAAUCAGACGAGGAAAAAACCCGACUCUCCACCAUCCGCGAGAGGCGAACACAGUUCCGGCGGAGAAGACUGAGGAAUAGGACGACGGCGGUGAAGAUAUAGAUUAUGGUUGAGUAUGUUCCAGAGCAGCCCGAGUUUGAAGAUGGUUUUAACGUUGAGUUCAAGCAAAUCUUUGAGAAGUUUAACUUCAGGGAACCUGUCUGAUUAUCUCUGUUUAAGAGACAGUUUUAGUAUCGUGGUUGAAGUUUAUAAGUUAAAUGAAGAAGUUUUACGGUUGGAGCAGAUUGUAUCUUAAUGGAGGCUUUUCAGAAUUUGAAUAUACUCCUUCUCUUUCUGCUUGCGAGGUUUUGAGAUGCAUCGCUUUGUGUUAAGAGAAGAUCUACACAUCAGAUCCAGACUCUCUGAUUCAUCAUCUGCAAUGGCUCUUGGGUUACUUCAGAUCCUGGUUAUCAAGAAGAAUAUUCAUGAUCGUUCAAUCAUUUUACCCGUGGUGUACAUGAUACUGCUCAUUGGACACCAAACUCUGGAGACAAGACCCUUCAAUACGAUGAAGAGAAAAUGCAGAAACGGUUGGAAUCAUGUUCCUCUAGCACAAGCGCAGUGACUGGUGAAAUGGCUUUACAUUUGGUAAAUGGCACAGACUUAUGUGAUUUGUAUUUCAGAAUCCCGAUCAGAUGCUUCUUGGUCCCAAUGGCUGUGUGGAAAAUGGUACCCCUUCUAAAGAUUUUAGUCGGUGUACUGAAUCCAAACCAGCGGAAUUGUCUGUGUAAAAACCUUAAGAAUUUUUGUAUUUCUGAAUCCUAAUCAUCAGGUUUAUCUUUCUUCCUCUCAUCUAUUUUGGUUUUAUGUUAAAAAAGGAUCAUAUACUUUAUGAACAUAAGCAAAAUUUGUUUUUGUCCCCACUGCUAAGACAGAUCAGUUAACCGGAGUCUGGUUAUCCUUUCCUCUCUGCCUUGCAUAACGGGAGCCUAAUUCCAGCUAUCUUGCAGCGUUCUGGUAUUAUAUAUAUUUUUUUUGUAAAAACAUAAAUGUUAAUGGUACUCCGUUCUUCUUUUUUUUGUUCAUAUUUUCGUAAUCAUGUUGUCUCACAGACCUUUAUUUGGAUUCACGGCUCUAGCUAUAGAAGAUUUGUCUAAUUCGAUAUGAAUACGUUGUUCGUGUGUAUUUAGUUCUUGCUGAUUCCAGUUGCAGCUUCUUGGAUUACAAUUUGGGAUAUUAUUAAAGUGCAUCCACUACGCUUUCUCUGAGAGACACAUGCUAAGGCCAAGAAGGAAAAUAGGAGCUCAAGGUUUUGAUUUAGUUCUCGUGUUUUCUUGUCUUUUUAUAUUUAGUUCUGAUAUUGUAACGAUGUUUGUGUAAGAUUUAAUGAAAAUGUUUACAUGUUUGUGGUACUGAUAUAAAAGUACAUUUUGGUU